rnacentral:rRNA from 1 species
CUACACGGGUAUCUAAUCCUGUUUGCUCCCCACGCUUUCGUGUCUCAGCGUCAGUAUUCGUCCAGUUGGCCGCCUUCGCCACCGGUGUUCCUCUCGAUAUCUACGAAUUUCACCUCUACACCGAGAAUUCCACCAACCUCUCCGAUACUCAAGCCAUGCAGUUUCGGGUGCACUUCCCAGGUUAAGCCUGGGGCUUUCACAUCCGACUUGCGUGGCCGCCUACACACGCUUUACGCCCAGUAAUUCCGAACAACGUUUGCACCCUCUGUCUUACCGCGGCUGCUGGCAC